rnacentral:rRNA from 1 species
UACGGGGGGGGGCAAGCGUUGUUCGGAAUUACUGGGCGUAAAGGGCUCGUAGGUGGCCAACUAAGUCACACGUGAAAUCCCUCGGCUUAACCGGGGAACUGCGUUUGAUACUGGAUGGCUUGAGUUUGGGAGAGGGAUGCGGAAUUCCAGGUGUAGCGGUGAAAUGCGUAGAUAUCUGGAGGAACACCGGUGGCGAAGGCGGCAUCCUGGACCAAUACUGACGCUGAGGAGCGAAAGCCAGGGGAGCAAACGGG